UACAGAGGGUGCGAGCGUUAAUCGGAAUAACUGGGCGUAAAGGGCGCGUAGGCGGUGAUAUAUGUGUGAUGUGAAAGCCCCGGGCUUAACCUGGGAAGUGCAUCGCAAACUGUAUGACUGGAGUAUAUGAGAGGGUGGCGGAAUUUCCGGUGUAGCGGUGAAAUGCGUAGAGAUCGGAAGGAACGUCGAUGGCGAAGGCAGCCACCUGGCAUAAUACUGACGCUGAGGCGCGAAAGCGUGGGGAGCGAACAGG
rnacentral:rRNA from 1 species